GAUGAACGCUAGCGGGAGGCCUAACACAUGCAAGCCGAGCGGUAUUGUUUCUUCGGAAAUGAGAGAGCGGCGUACGGGUGCGUAACACGUGUGCAACCUGCCUUUAUCUGGGGGAUCGCCUUUCGAAAGGAAGAUUAAUACUCCAUAAUAUAUUGAACGGCAUCGUUUAAUAUUGAAAGCUCCUGCGGAUAGAGAUGGACACGCGCAAGAUUAGCUAGUUGGUGAGGUAACGGCUCACCAAGGCGAUGAUCUUUAGGGGGCCUGAGAGGGUGAUCCCCCACACUGGUACUGAGACACGGACCAGACUCCUACGGGAGGCAGCAGUGAGGAAUAUUGGUCAAUGGGUGCAAGCCUGAACCAGCCAUCCCGCGUGAAGGACGACUGCCCUAUGGGUUGUAAACUUCUUUUGUAUAGGGAUAAACCUACCCUCGUGAGGGUAGCUGAAGGUACUAUACGAAUAAGCACCGGCUAACUCCGUGCCAGCCGCCGCCGUAA
rnacentral:rRNA from 1 species